rnacentral:rRNA from 1 species
UACGGAGGGUGCGAGCGUUGUCCGGAAUCACUGGGCGUAAAGGGCGCGUAGGUGGCGCGACAAGUCAACGGUGAAAGCUCGGCGCUCAACGCCGAGUCGGCCGUGCGAACUGUUUUGCUUGAGCACUGUAGAGGCAGGCGGAAUUCCGGGUGUAGCGGUGGAAUGCGUAGAGAUCCGGAAGAACACCGGUGGCGAAGGCGGCCUGCUGGGCAGUAGCUGACACUGAGGCGCGACAGCGUGGGGAGCAACAGG